rnacentral:rRNA from 1 species
UACGGGGGGGGCAAGCGUUGUUCGGAAUUACUGGGCGUAAAGGGCGCGUAGGCGGUUGGAUAAGUCAGCUGUGAAAACCACGAGCUUAACUCGUGGCCUGCAGUUGAGACUGUCUGGCUUGAGUGUGGGAGAGGAGAGUGGAAUUCCUGGUGUAGCGGUGAAAUGCGUAGAUAUCAGGAGGAACACCGGUGGCGAAGGCGGCUCUCUGGACCACAACUGACGCUGAGGCGCGAAAGCCAGGGGAGCAAACGGG